rnacentral:rRNA from 1 species
UACAGAGGGGGCAAGCGUUGUUCGGAAUUACUGGGCGUAAAGGGCGCGUAGGCGGCCUGUUAAGUCGAACGUGAAAUCCCCGGGCUCAACCCGGGAACUGCGUCCGAUACUGGCAGGCUUGAAUUCGGGAGAGGGAUGUGGAAUUCCAGGUGUAGCGGUGAAAUGCGUAGAUAUCUGGAGGAACACCGGUGGCGAAGGCGGCAUCCUGGACCGAUAUUGACGCUGAUGCGCGAAAGCCAGGGGAGCGAACGGG